rnacentral:rRNA from 1 species
GCGCGUAAAUUGCCCGAAUCCUGACACAGGGAGGUAGUGACAAGAAAUAACAAUACAGGGCUACUUCUAGUCCUGUAAUUGGAAUGAGUACAACUUACAUCUCUUCACGAGGAUCAAUUGGAGGGCAAGUCUGGUGCCAGCAGCCGCGGUAAUUCCAGCUCCAAUAGCGUAUAUUAAAGUUGUUGCAGUUAAAAAGCUCGUAGUCGGAUUUCGGGUCGGGCCGAGCGGUCUGCCGAUGGGUAUGCACUGUUCGGCGCGGCCUUCUUUCCGGAGACCGCGGCUACUCUUAACUGAGCGGGCGUGGGAGACGGAUCGUUUACUUUGAAAAAAUCAGAGUGUUUCAAGCAGGCAGCUCGCUCUUGCAUGGAUUAGCAUGGGAUAAUGAAAUAGGACUCUGGUGCUAUUUUGUUGGUUUCGAACACCGGAGUAAUGAUUAACAGGGACAGUCAGGGGCACUCGUAUUCC